rnacentral:tRNA from 1 species
CAAAUAAUAAUUUAAAUAAAAUAUCGACUUUGGGUGUCGACUAUCGUAAGUAAUACGUUAUUUGA